UUUUAUGUCGUUUGUAUGUUACAUGUUCAAUUCGAUAGUGCCUGUGUAUCAACCAUCACAAACUACCGGAGCAUCAAAGUCUUUCUACCGUUGAAACGCCAAAGUUUGAAUUUGAAUGAAAGUGAAUUCAUCAAUCCAGAGGAGUGAAACGCUACCGUUCUUUCAUCAUUGCAAAUUGCAAAUGGUCUACACAAACACACCACAUUCCUUUAAUUACCACGUUUUACCGCCUCUGGGAAAAAAACACAAACACCUCAUCUCACAGCUCCUAUCCUACCAUUUUGCCAGAAUCAAAGCGUCUUGAAUGGAAUCAUCUGGCAUCAAAGCAGGCAGAAACAUGGUGCUUGAGCUUUCACCUGAGGCGGCAACGGAUCCGAACACUAUUACACUGUUCGAAAAAUGGCCAUUGCAAGACAUCACCAAUAGCUUCAUCUGGGAAGCCAUAGACAACGAAGCUUUCGAGACAACAACCUCUAUAGGAAAUAGGAGGUACAAUGAUGAGAACUCAGCUGGAAAUCCGACUCGAAAGGUGAAAGGACGAACAGGGGGCACUCCGAAGGCGAUUCUUGCCCAUGGAACUGGGAAUGUUCUGAGAAAGGAAUUUAGAUAGGCAUGAUUUCAUCUCACAGUAGGGCUAGUAGAACCUGAAUAUGGUAGAGCCAUGUAGCUGCAGUAUACUUGGCAAGGAGAUUUAUCAUUCACGAUGGUCCACCUUAAGUAGACAUAAAUAAGAUGAUCCUAGCCAUCUGAUCAUUGACAUCCAAAUAUGAUAAAUAAAACCGGUUGAUGUUGAAAAAAAAAAAAAAUGAUAUCUCGGAUUGUUUGUACGUGUGAUUUUUUAUAUACAUGGGUCAUCCAUUAUAGGUCCCACUGGAUGGACAGUCCUGAUUGAUGUGUUCAUGCCACGGGGCUCUACCAUAUUCUAGUUCCAAAACUGGCUUCUAUUACACCCAUCAUUCAUUUCCCUCAAGUAUGUUAAGUAAUAGAGGUUGAUUAGAGCUUGGAAUAUUUUAUUUAUGUGUAUGAUUGCUUAUUGGAAGAGUUAUACUAUGUAAUGUAAAAGCCUGGCUGGUUUGGGUUAUUCUUCAUUUAUCAUUUGAAUCUUGAAAAUAGUUUUGAGAGGAGUUAUUUGAUA